rnacentral:rRNA from 1 species
AGUCGAGCGAAUCUGAUGGGAGCUUGCUCCCUGAUGAUUAGCGGCGGACGGGUGAGUAACACGUGGGUAACCUGCCUGUAAGACUGGGAUAACUCCGGGAAACCGGGGCUAAUACCGGAUAACUUUUUUCUUCGCAUGAAGAAGAAUUGAAAGAUGGCUCCGGCUAUCACUUACAGAUGGACCCGCGGCGCAUUAGCUAGUUGGUGAGGUAACGGCUCACCAAGGCGACGAUGCGUAGCCGACUUGAGAGGGUGAUCGGCCACACUGGGACUGAGACACGGCCCAGACUCCUACGGGAGGCAGCAGUAGGGAAUCUUCCGCAAUGGACGAAAGUCUGACGGAGCAACGCCGCGUGAGUGAUGAAGGUUUUCGGAUCGUAAAACUCUGUUGUUAGGGAAGAACAAGUAUCGUUCGAAUAGGGCGGUACCUUGACGGUACCUAACCAGAAAGCCACGGCUAACUACGUGCCAGCAGCCGCGGUAAUACGUAGGUGGCAAGCGUUGUCCGGAAUUAUUGGGCGUAAAGCGCGCGCAGGCGGUUUCUUAAGUCUGAUGUGAAAUCUUGCGGCUCAACCGCAAGCGGCCAUUGGAAACUGGGAGACUUGAGUGCAGAAGAGGAGAGUGGAAUUCCACGUGUAGCGGUGAAAUGCGUAGAGAUGUGGAGGAACACCAGUGGCGAAAGCGACUCUCUGGUCUGUAACUGACGCUGAGGCGCGAAAGCGUGGGGAGCGAACAGGAUUAGAUACCCUGGUAGUCCACGCCGUAAACGAUGAGUGCUAAGUGUUAGAGGGUUUCCGCCCUUUAGUGCUGCAGCUAACGCAUUAAGCACUCCGCCUGGGGAGUACGGCCGCAAGGCUGAAACUCAAGGAAUUGACGGGGCCCGCACAAGCGGUGGAGCAUGUGGUUUAAUUCGAAGCAACGCGAGACCUUACCAGUCUUGACAUCCUCUUGACCUCCCUAGAGAUAGGGAUUUCCCUUCGGG